rnacentral:rRNA from 1 species
GUGAACGCUGGCGGUAGGCCUAACACAUGCAAGUCGAACGGCAGCACAGUAAGAGCUUGCUCUUACGGGUGGCGAGUGGCGGACGGGUGAGGAAUACAUCGGAAUCUACUUUUUCGUGGGGGAUAACGUAGGGAAACUUACGCUAAUACCGCAUACGACCUACGGGUGAAAGCAGGGGAUCUUCUGACCUUGCGCGAUUGAAUGAGCCGAUGUCGGAUUAGCUAGUUGGCGGGGUAAAGGCCCACCAAGGCGACGAUCCGUAGCUGGUCUGAGAGGAUGAUCAGCCACACUGGAACUGAGAAACGGUCCAGACUCCUACGGGAGGCAGCAGUGGGGAAUAUUGGACAAUGGGCGCAAGCCUGAUCCAGCCAUACCGCGUGGGUGAAGAAGGCCUUCGGGUUGUAAAGCCCUUUUGUUGGGAAAGAAAAGCAGCAGGUUAAUACCCCGCUGUUCUGACGGUACCCAAAGAAUAAGCACCGGCUAACUUCGUG